rnacentral:misc_RNA from 1 species
CCGAGUUUACAACUCCCAAACCCCUGUGAACAUACCACUCUGUUGCCUCGGCGGAUCAGCCCGCUCCACGGUAAAACGGGACGGCCCCGCCAGAGGACCCCUAAACUCUGUUUCUAUAUGUAACUUCUGAGUAAAACCACGAAUAAAUCA